rnacentral:rRNA from 1 species
AACGAACGCUGGCGGCAGGCCUAACACAUGCAAGUCGAGCGAGCAUUUCGGUGCUAGCGGCGGACGGGUGAGUAACGCGUGGGAACGUGCCCUUUUCUGCGGAAUAGUCCUGGGAAACUGGGGGUAAUACCGCAUACGCCCUUUUGGGGAAAGAUUUAUCGGAGAAGGAUCGGCCCGCGUUGGAUUAGGUAGUUGGUGGGGUAAUGGCCCACCAAGCCGACGAUCCAUAGCUGGUUUGAGAGGAUGAACAGCCACACUGGGACUGAGACACGGCCCAGACUCCUACGGGAGGCAGCAGUGGGGAAUCUUAGACAAUGGGGGCAACCCUGAUCUAGCCAUGCCGCGUGAGUGAUGAAGGCCUUAGGGUUGUAAAGCUCUUUCAGCUGGGAAGAUAAUGACGGUACCAGCAGAAGAAGCCCCGGCUAACUCCGUG